rfam:Schistosoma rodhaini strain Burundi genome assembly, scaffold: SROB_scaffold0001739
AUUCAACUGAUGAGUCUCAUAUAGGACGAAACGCGUGUCCUGGAU